AUUGAACGCUGGCGGCAGGCCUAACACAUGCAAGUCGAGCGAGCGGCGGACGGGUGAGUAAUGUCUGGGAAACUGCCUGAUGGAGGGGGAUAACUACUGGAAACGGUAGCUAAUACCGCAUACCAUCAGAUGUGCCCAGAUGGGAUUAGUUAGUAGGGGGGGUAACGGCUCACCUAGGCGACGAUCCCGAGCUGGUCUGAGAGGAUGACCAGCCAAACUGGAACUGGGAAACGGUCCAGCCUCCUACGGGAGGAAGAAGUGGGGAACAUUGGACAAUGGGCGCAAGCCGGAUGCAGCAAGGCGGCGGGUGUGAAGAAGGCCUUCGGGUGGUAAAGCACUUUCAGCGGGGAGGCGUUACCCGCAGAAGAAGCACCGGCUAACUCCGUGCCAGCCGCCGCGGUAAUUC
rnacentral:rRNA from 1 species